AUUGAACGCUGGCGGCAGGUCUAACACAUGCAAGUCGAACGAGUGGCGGACGGGUGAGUAAUGUCUGGGAUACUGCCUGAUGGAGGGGGAUAACUACUGGAAACGGUAGCUAAUACCGCAUACCAUCGGAUGUGCCCAGAUGGGAUUGGCUAGUAGGUGGGGUAACGUCUCACCUAGGCGACGAGCCCUAGCUGGUCUGAGAGGAGGACCAGCCACGCUGGAACUGAGCGGCGGGCCAGACGCCUACGGGAGGCAGCAGUGGGGAAUAUUGCACAAUGGGCGAAAGCCGGAUGCAGCCAUGCCGCGUGUAUGAAGAAGGCCUUCGGGUUGUAAAGUACUUUCGGCGGGGAGGCGUUACCCGCAGAAGAAGCACCGGCUCACUCCGUGCCAGCAGCCGCGGUAAUUC
rnacentral:rRNA from 1 species